GAGUUUGAUCCUGGCUCAGAGCGAACGCUGGCGGCAGGCUUAACACAUGCAAGUCGAGCGGAUGUAGCAAUACAUCAGCGGCAGACGGGAGAGUAACACGUGGGAACGCGCCCUUCGGUUCGGAAUAACUCAGGGAAACUUGAGCUAAUACCGGAUACGCCCUAACGGGGAAAGAUUUAUUGCCGAAGGAACGGCCCGCGUCGGAUUAGCUAGUUGGUGAGGUAAUGGCUCACCAAGGCGACGAUCCGUAGCUGGUCUGAGAGGAUGACCAGCCUCACUGGGACUGAGACACGGCCCAGACUCCUACGGGAGGCAGCAGUGGGGAAUAUUGGACAAUGGGCGCAAGCCUGAUCCAGCCAUGCCGCGUGGGUGAUGAAGGCCCUAGGGUUGUAAAGCCCUUUCGGCGGGAAGAUAAUGACGGUACCGCAGAAGAAGCCCGG
rnacentral:rRNA from 1 species